UACGUAGGGUGCAAGCGUUGUCCGGAAUUAUUGGGCGUAAAGAGCUCGUAGGCGGUCUGUCGCGUCGGAUGUGAAAACCCAGGGCUCAACCCUGGGCCUGCAUUCGAUGCGGGCAGACUAGAGUUCGGUAGGGGAGACUGGAAUUCCUGGUGUAGCGGUGAAAUGCGCAGAUAUCAGGAGGAACACCGGUGGCGAAGGCGGGUCUCUGGGCCGAAACUGACGCUGAGGAGCGAAAGCGUGGGGAGCAAACAGG
rnacentral:rRNA from 1 species